CCAUUUUAUUCGAAUUUUCAUUUCUACUGACGUCUCAUUUUUUUUCAUCUAUUUUUUCUUCAUUAAGCACAUGAGAGAGUUAAAUUGAAUUGAAGCAAUUGGAGUGGAUUGAUAACCACAAUUGUGAUACAAUCAAAAUCCAGAUUCUCUUCCCUUCCCAAUAUAUGUUGAAUCACAAUUAAUUUAUGUAUUUUGUUUUAAUAAAAU
rnacentral:lncRNA from 1 species